GACGAACGCUGGCGGCGUGCUUAACACAUGCAAGUCGAACGGAAAGGCCCUGCUUUUGUGGGGUGCUCGAGUGGCGAACGGGUGAGUAACACGUGAGUAACCUGCCCUUGACUUUGGGAUAACUUCAGGAAACUGGGGCUAAUACCGGAUAGGAGCUCCUGCUGCAUGGGGGGGGUUGGAAAGUUUCGGCGGUUGGGGAUGGACGCGCGGCUUAUCAGCUUGUUGGUGGGGUAGUGGCUUACCCAGGCUUUGGCGGGUAGCCGGCCUGAGAGGGUGGCCGGCCACCUUGGGACUGAGAUACGGACCAGACUCCUACGGGAGGCAGCAGUGGGGAAUAUUGCACAAUGGGCGGAAGCCUGAUGCAGCAACGCCGCGUGCGGGAUGACGGCCUUCGGGUUGUAAACCGCUUUCGCCUGUGACGAAGCGUGAGUGACGGUAAUGGGUAAAGAAGCACCGGCUAACUACGUG
rnacentral:rRNA from 1 species